rnacentral:rRNA from 1 species
CGUGAACGCUGGCGGUAGGCCUAACACAUGCAAGUCGAACGGCAGCACAGUAAGAGCUUGCUCUUACGGGUGGCGAGUGGCGGACGGGUGAGGAAUACAUCGGAAUCUACUUUUUCGUGGGGGAUAACGUAGGGAAACUUACGCUAAUACCGCAUACGACCUACGGGUGAAAGCAGGGGAUCUUCGGACCUUGCGCGAUUGAAUGAGCCGAUGUCGGAUUAGCUAGUUGGCGGGGUAAAGGCCCACCAAGGCGACGAUCCGUAGCUGGUCUGAGAGGAUGAUCAGCCACACUGGAACUGAGACACGGUCCAGACUCCUACGGGAGGCAGCAGUGGGGAAUAUUGGACAAUGGGCGCAAGCCUGAUCCAGCCAUACCGCGUGGGUGAAGAAGGCCUUCGGGUUGUAAAGCCCUUUUGUUGGGAAAGAAAAGCAGCAGGUUAAUACCCCGCUGCUCUGACGGUACCCAAAGAAUAAGCACCGGCUAACUUCGUG